ACGUAGGAGGCAAACGUUAUCCGGAUUUACUGGGCGUAAAGCGCGUAUAGGUGGUACUGUAAGUAGGGCGUGAAAGCUCCUGGCUCAACUGGGAGAGGCCGUUCUAAACUACAGAACUAGAGGAUGGUAGAGGGAGGUGGAAUUCCAGGUGUAGCGGUGGAAUGCGCAGAUAUCUGGAGGAACACCGGUGGCGAAGGCGGCCUCCUGGACCAUUCCUGACACUCAGACGCGAAAGCUAGGGUAGCAAACGGGAUUAGAGACCCCGGUAGUCCUAGCCCUAAACGAUGUAGACUAGGCGUCGGAAGCUUAAUCGCUUUCGGUGUCCAAGCUAACGCGAUAAGUCUACCGCCUGGGGACUACGGCCGCAAGGUUAAAACUCAAAGGAAUUGACGGGUCCCCGCACAAGCAGCGGAGCGUGUGGUUUAAUUCGUUGCUACACGAAGAACCUUACCUGGGUUUGACAUAGCAGUGGUAGGGAAGCGAAAGCGGACCGACCCUUCGGGGAGCUGUUACAGGUGUUGCAUGGCUGUCGUCAGCUCGUGUCGUGAGAUGUUCGGUUAAGUCCGCUAACGAGCGCAACCCGCGUUGUGUGUUACAAGUGUCACACAAUACCGCCGGUAUUAAGUCGGAGGAAGGUGCGGAUGACGUCAAGUCAGCAUGACCUUUAUAUCCAGGGCUACACACACGCUACAAUGGUCAGCACAAUAGGUUGCCAAGUCGUGAGACGGAGCCAAUCCUCCAAAGCUGGCCUCAGUUCAGAUUGCAGGCUGCAACUCGCCUGCAUGAAGUUGGAGUUGCUAGUAACCGCAGGUCAGCUAUACUGCGGUGAAUACGUUCCCGGGGAUUGCACACACCGCCCGU
rnacentral:rRNA from 1 species